rnacentral:rRNA from 1 species
UACGUAGGGGGCAAGCGUUGUCCGGAAUCACUGGGCGUAAAGCGCGCGCAGGCGGCUAUCUACGUCCGGGGUGAAAGCCCAGAGCUCAACUCUGGGAUUGCCUUGGAUACGGGAUGGCUUGAGGAUCGGAGAGGCAAGGGGAAUUCCACGUGUAGCGGUGAAAUGCGUAGAGAUGUGGAGGAACACCGGUGGCGAAGGCGGUUCUCUGGGAAUGACCUGACGCUGAGGAGCGAAAGUGUGGGGAGCGAACAGG